rnacentral:rRNA from 1 species
ACUCCUGCGGGAGGCAGCAGUGGGGAAUAUUGGACAAUGGGCGCAAGCCUGAUCCAGCCAUGCCGCGUGAGUGAUGAAGGCCCUAGGGUUGUAAAGCUCUUUCACCGGUGAAGAUAAUGACGGUAACCGGAGAAGAAGCCCCGGCUAACUUCGUGCCAGCAGCCGCGGUAAUACGAAGGGGGCUAGCGUUGUUCGGAUUUACUGGGCGUAAAGCGCACGUAGGCGGACUAUUAAGUCAGGGGUGAAAUCCCGGGGCUCAACCCCGGAACUGCCUUUGAUACUGGUAGUCUUGAGUUCGAGAGAGGUGAGUGGAAUUCCGAGUGUAGAGGUGAAAUUCGUAGAUAUUCGGAGGAACACCAGUGGCGAAGGCGGCUCACUGGCUCGAUACUGACGCUGAGGUGCGAAAGCGUGGGGAGCAAACAGGAUUAGAUACCCUAGUAGUCCCAUG